UGGCUCAUUGCGUACACCACGGGAGGAAGGAGAGAACUGCUCUGGGUCCACUGAGUAAUAAUUCACAUAUUCAGAGCAAGCUGCACAAUGGCUCCCUUACUGCUGUUACUACUGCUGCCCGGAUCGCUGGCCUGCCAUGUUCAUCUCAGCAUUUCAGAUGGUAACAUUUACUUUACCAUUAACACCAACCACACUGUAAUUACUGACAAUCGGCCUGAUACUGUGAUAUGCUUGGAGGAUGGAUUUCCCUGCCACAUUGAAUGCACGCUCAGCAACUUGACCGUAUGGCGCAAUAAAUCAUUUGGUUGCUUCAAGGCUGAAGAGACACGAGAUCCCAACAUG